AACAGGAUUAGAUACCCUGGUAGUCCACGCCGUAAACGAUGAUAACUAGCUGUCGGGGCUCUUAGAGCUUCGGUGGCGCAGCUAACGCAUUAAGUUAUCCGCCUGGGGAGUACGGCCGCAAGGUUAAAACUCAAAUGAAUUGACGGGGGCCUGCACAAGCGGUGGAGCAUGUGGUUUAAUUCGAAGCAACGCGCAAAACCUUACCAGCGUUUGACAUGUCCGGACGAUUUCGGGAGACCGAUCUCUUCCCUUCGGGGACUGGAACACAGGUGCUGCAUGGCUGUCGUCAGCUCGUGUCGUGAGACGUUGGGUCAAGUCCCGCAACGAGCGCAACCCUCGUCCUUAGUUGCCAUCAUUUAGUUGGGCACUCUAAGGAAACCGCCGGUGAUAAGCCGGAGGAAGGUGGGGAUGACGUCAAGUCCUCAUGGCCCUUACGCGCUGGGCUACACACGUGCUACAAUGGCGGUGACAGUGGGCAGCAAUCUCGCAAGGGUGAGCUAAUCUCCAAAAGCCGUCUCAGUUCGGAUUGUUCUCUGCAACUCGAGAGCAUGAAGGCGGAAUCGCUAGUAAUCGCGGAUCAGCAUGCCGCGGUGAAUACGUUCCCAGGCCUUGUACACACCGCCCGCCACACCCUGGGAAUUGGUUUCGCCCGAAGCAUCGGACCAAUGAUCACCCAUGACUUCUGUGUCACACUAGUGCCACAAAGGCUUUUGGUGGGCUUAUUGGCGCAUACCACGGUGGGGUCUUCGACUGGGGUGAAGUCGUAACAAGGUAACC
rnacentral:rRNA from 1 species